CUCCAGCUGCGGUUUGGCUCAACAGGAUGUUCUUAACUUCGCUCUGAGACGGACAGAACGGCUUCAGUCUGCAGACGAGAUGAACGCCGCCGCACCGCUGCCGCUGCUGCUCUGUUUAUUUCUGAGCUUCAGCUGCUGCCAGACGGUUUCCUGCCACGACGCGUCCCGUCCGUCCUCCCUGGUCGUCUCCCCCAGCCGGUCUCAGUUCUUUGAGUACGGUU